rnacentral:rRNA from 1 species
CCUACGGGUGGCAGCAGUGGGGAAUAUUGCACAAUGGGGGAAACCCUGAUGCAGCGACGCCGCGUGAGUGAAGAAGUAAUUCGUUACGUAAAGCUCUAUCAGCAGGGAAGAAACACUUACCGUACGGUCAGCAGACGGUACCUGCGUAAGACGCCCCGGCUAACUCCGUGCCAGCAGCCGCGGUAAUACGUAGGGGGCAAGCGUUAUCCGGAUUUACUGGGUGUAAAGGGAGCGUAGACGGUGCGCCAAGUCUGGAGUGAAAUGCCGCAGCUUAACUGCGGAACUGCUUUGGAAACUGGCGAACUAGAGUGCGGGAGGGGCAAGCGGAAUUCCUAGUGUAGCGGUGAAAUGCGUAGAUAUUAGGAGGAACACCAGUGGCGAAGGCGGUUUACUGGACCGUAACUGACGUUGAGGCGCGAAAGCGUGGGGAGCAAACAGGAUUAGAUACCCGGGUAGUC